rnacentral:rRNA from 1 species
GAUGAACGCUGGCGGCGUGCCUAAUACAUGCAAGUCGAGCGAACAGAUGAGGAGCUUGCUCCUCUGACGUUAGCGGCAGACGGGUGAGUAACACGUGGAUAACCUACCUAUAAGACUGGGAUAACUUCGGGAAACCGGAGCUAAUACCGGAUAAUAUAUUGAACCGCAUGGUUCAAUAGUGAAAGACGGUUUUGCUGUCACUUAUAGAUGGAUCCGCGCCGCAUUAGCUAGUUGGUAAGGUAACGGCUUACCAAGGCAACGAUGCGUAGCCGACCUGAGAGGGUGAUCGGCCACACUGGAACUGAGACACGGUCCAGACUCCUACGGGAGGCAGCAGUAGGGAAUCUUCCGCAAUGGGCGAAAGCUUGACGGAGCAACGCCGCGUGAGUGAUGAAGGUCUUCGGAUCGUAAAACUCUGUUAUUAGUGAAGAACAAAUGUGUAAGUAACUAUGCACGUCUUGACGGUACCUAAUCAGAAAGCCACGGCUAACUACGUG